rnacentral:snRNA from 1 species
GGAUGUGAGGGCAAUCCGCCUUGUGACCUCUAUUAUCACACUGAUCACCAUGGUUGAUUCAGCUGAUCUGGCUGGCUAGGUGGGUGUCCCCUUCCUCCCUCAAUGCUCCACAUGCAUCCCUCCCCCUCCAUAAAGGAGGAUCGGUCUUUGGUCAAGGGUGUAUGAGUAGCUGCGCUCUCCUGUUAGAACCUCCAAACAAGCUCUCCAGAUGUAGGACUCCACCCUGAGGAGCCCGUACUCCAGCAGGAGAUAAACACAAGUACAGGCACCAGGCUACCAAUAGUAGUAAUUUAACACAU